UACGAGGGGGGCAAGCGUUGUUCGGAAUUAUUGGGCGUAAAGGGUGCGUAGGCGGUUUUGUAAGUCUUGUGUGAAAUCUUCAGGCUCAACUUGAAGACUGCACGAGAAACUGCAGGGCUUGAGUGUGGGAGAGGUGAGUGGAAUUCCUGGUGUAGCGGUGGAAUGCGCAGAUAUCAGGAGGAACACCAAUAGCGAAGGCAGCUCGCUGGGACGGUACUGACGCUAAGGCGCGAAAGCGUGGGGAGCGAACAGG
rnacentral:rRNA from 1 species